AUUGAACGCUGGCGGCAUGCCUUACACAUGCAAGUCGAACGGCAGCGCGGGGCAACCUGGCGGCGAGUGGCGAACGGGUGAGUAACAUAUCGGAACAUACCCUAGAGUGGGGGAUAACGUAGCGAAAGUUACGCUAAUACCGCAUACGCACUAAGGUGGAAAGUGGGGGAUCUUCGGACCUCAUGCUCAUGGAGUGGCCGAUAUCUGAUUAGCUAGUUGGUGAGGUAAAGGCUCACCAAGGCGACGAUCAGUAGCUGGUUUGAGAGAACGACCAGCCACACUGGAACUGAGACACGGUCCAGACUCCUACGGGAGGCAGCAGUGGGGGAAUUUUUGGACAAUGGGCGGCAAGCCUGAUCCA
rnacentral:rRNA from 1 species